rnacentral:pre_miRNA from 1 species
UGAUGUAUCAUCAGGGGAUCUUGUGAAAAUGCAGAUUUGGAUUCUUGUGGUCUGGAGUGGAGCCUGAAAAGUCUGCAUUUUUCACAAGUUCCCAGGUAAUGUUGAU